GCCAGCGUAGCGUAGCGGUUUGAUUGUUGGACUACAACUCUAAAGACCAGGGUUCAAUUUCCAGUGUGGCCA